rnacentral:tRNA from 1 species
GUCCCUGUAGCGCAAUAGAUAGCACGUUGGACUUCUAAUACAAAGGCCGUAGAUUCAAAUUCUACCUGGGAUG